rnacentral:lncRNA from 1 species
UGAAAAAUGAUAUGAAAUGUAUGAUGAUGAAUGCAAAUGCAAUGAUAUGUGUAUGAAUGUAGUGACAUGUUUAGGAUCACAGGUUCAAAGUGUUCUCAGACGGAUUAGAAUAACGGGUAAUGACAGGUAUCUCUGAUUAAUGUAACCCCAUGGGUAAGCUCUACAGUUGGUAGGUUCCUAGAGUCACAAAUAUUUCUUGAGGACGUCACUGCCGUGACGAAGACUCGUCGGACAAUAAUAUCCUUAAGAAGAU